GAUGAACGCUGGCGGCGUGCCUAAUACAUGCAAGUCGAGCGAACAGACGAGGAGCUUGCUCCUCUGACGUUAGCGGCGGACGGGUGAGUAACACGUGGAUAACCUACCUAUAAGACUGGGAUAACUUCGGGAAACCGGAGCUAAUACCGGAUAAUAUAUUGAACCGCAUGGUUCAAUAGUGAAAGACGGUUUUGCUGUCACAUAUAGAUGGAUCCGCGCCGCAUUAGCUAGUUGGUAAGGUAACGGCUUACCAAGGCAACGAUGCGUAGCCGACCUGAGAGGGUGAUCGGCCACACUGGAACUGAGACACGGUCCAGACUCCUACGGGAGGCAGCAGAAGGGAAUCUUCCGCAAUGGGCGAAAGCCUGACGGAGCAACGCCGCGUGAGUGAUGAAGGUCUUCGGAUCGUAAAACUCUGUUAUUAGGGAAGAACAAAUGUGUAAGUAACUAUGCACGUCUUGACGGUACCUAAUCAGAAAGCCACGGCUAACUACGUG
rnacentral:rRNA from 1 species